GUGGCCUCAAAUCAGGUAGGACUACCCGCUGAACUUAAGCAUAUCAAUAAGCGGAGGAAAAGAAACUAACAAGGAUUCCCCUAGUAACUGCGAGUGAAGCGGGAAAAGCUCAAAUUUAAAAUCUGGGCAGUCUUUGGCUGUCCGAGUUGUAAUCUAGAGAAGCAUUAUCCGCGCUGGACCGUGUACAAGUCUCCUGGAAUGGAGCGUCAUAGAGGGUGAGAAUCCCGUCUUUGACACGGACUACCAGGGCUUUGUGAUGUGCUCUCAAAGAGUCGAGUUGUUUGGGAAUGCAGCUCAAAAUGGGUGGUAAAUUCCAUCUAAAGCUAAAUAUUGGCGAGAGACCGAUAGCGAACAAGUACCGUGAGGGAAAGAUGAAAAGAACUUUGGAAAGAGAGUUAAACAGUACGUGAAAUUGCUGAAAGGGAAACGCUUGAAGUCAGUCGCGUUGUCCAGGGAUCAACUCUUGCUUUUGCUUGGUGUACUUUCUGGUUAACGGGUCAGCAUCAAUUUUGACUAUUGGAAAAAGAUCAAGGGAAUGUGGCAUCUUUAGAUGUGUUAUAGCCCUUGGUUGCAUACAUUAGUUGGGAUUGAGGAACUCAGCACGCCGCAAGGCCGAGNUUUUUUACUACGUACGUGCUAGGAUGCUGCU
rnacentral:rRNA from 2 species